GUACUUAACCACAAGACAACGACGAUGCCUCAGGUCUAAGGAUUACUUACAUCUUUCCAACCAUUAGAGUUACUUGCUUGACAUGUGAGUAGACCUCCAUGCAAGUACUCUCGUUCGAUUGUGUUCAGUGAACUCAUUCCCCUUAAUGAGCACCUACAUACUUGUCUUAGUGUCACAACACGAAUGGGAUGAGACUUUCCAUCCUUCCAAUUGAAGCAGACAUAGUAUGUACCGGUCUACGCAUUGUCAGUAUCCCUCCGACAAUCCAAUGACCAGGAACCUUUUGGACAUAAUGGUUAUGUGAAGAAGGUCUCUGUAGUCUAACAUCAUUAGAUUACUUCUUCAAUCGAUCCAUUGUCCAUGGAUACACUAUUUAGGACAUAUAUCGUUUAUUGAGAUAGUCCUAAUUAGUAUCUUUGCCAUUUGAUGUAUAAGAAUCAUCCAUACAUCGAUUCAUUUGUCCUGAAAGAUUUCUUCCAAAGAUUGACUUUCAGGGCAUAUUUCCAACAAUCUCCCACUUGCACUAAAGUCAAUCACUAGUGUAUCUUAUACAUCUUGUCGAGAGAGUUUAUGCUCGUAGGUUAACUUGGUUAUGUAUUAAUCUCUUUUAUAUUUAAAAGGGAUUUACUUAUCAAAUGUUUCCAAGAACAUUUGAUGAUGUCUCUUUAAUGUGUUCGAAUACUUUGAUGAGACCUUGAUUCCAUGGCUUGAGCUAUCGCCCCAUUACGUCGUAGUACUCUACUAACGACCUUAUGGUUUGGAUUCAAUCAUGGGUUCUAAAAGAACCCCUUUCAUUCAAAACACCUUUUGAAGCAGUUUCUAAAACUUAUAUAUCUACAUAUAUUUCGUUUGUAUACUUUAUACAAACUUUGCUCCAAGCUUGAGACCAUUGUAGUACAAUACUAACAAUUCAUUCAUAUGAUUAGUACUUCAUCCAUUAUGAAGUUCCAUUUGUUAAAAUGGCUUAUUUUCACUUUGGUUAACAACCUAAGUGAAUGCACGCUUCCAGAGUCCCACUCUGAUGUUUCUUUCUUAAAGGCAAUAAUACUCUAUCAGUUGCUUUGGUUCUGAUCCUGGGAUAUAGUAAUAUCUUAAAGUGACAAACUCAGUGGUUUCUUCACCUUUGGAUAUCUACUUCACAAGUCAAUACAUGUGUCCCUUUUGUGAUUUUAUGACACAUUCAUUAUAAGGGUUAUGAAAGUGAUUUCCUAUCACAUAGGAAAAUGCUUUCUUAAAUCUUCAACAUUUGAGAUUUAAUUCCCAUAUAACAUUAUUGAGAUAGCCUUGCUAUAUCAGUAAGUCCAAUUUCAAGUCUAUACUUCAAAAUUGACCGUGUCAUGUUUUGUCAUUUUCGAGUAACAUCUAUGUUUCAUCAAGUCUAUCAAAUAGACUUUAUUCACAUCUUGUUGCUCAAAUUAUGACAUCACUCCCACUGGCCUUGUUGUAACUUAGCAUUCAUUCAAAAUUAACAAUUAUAUUUUCUUGAUUUGAAUGCAUAUUGCUCCCACUAAUUUAAAUGAAUCAUACAUAAAAGAAUUCCUUCUCAAGUAAUUCCAUUUGAAAUGUGUGACUUGCUUUAUCAAGUCUAUUCAUUUAAAUUAUAUGGUGUCAUACACCAUACUUUAAGUUUUAGUCAUACUAAGACCUUUAAUGUAGUCAUAUAAGAAUUAUCUAAGUCUUUAGUGGAAGCAUGGCUCCUACUAAGGAUAUAGAAACUCAACCAUUCCUUCUAGGUGGUUGAUAUAAUUCUUUAUCAAAACUACAUAGAGCAAUAUCGUUACAUGAGAUGUUGAAUUUGGAUUGUCUUGUUGUUAAACCAUAUGUUGUGACUCAUUUUGAAACUUAUUCCCUUUUGUUUCAUCAACUUGUCCAUAUGCUUUGUUAUUUAGCAUUGUUCUCAUAAAAAGAGAAUGAUGGACAACUCCCAACAUAUAACCAUUUUAUGCUAGGUUGACGAAACCAACAUUCAAAGACUAUUCUUUAAAUGUUACACAACAUAGAAUUUUAACGUUUGAAGAGCUUGAGUCCUUUUAACAAUUAAAAUUACAAACUCUUAAUAAUAGUCAAGUACUAUUAUUCUUUAGACAACUAUAAACCAAUCACAUUCAAGUUUAUAUCCAUUUUCACACCUCCCACUAUUUCUCAUGACUUUAAUGAGAAAUCAUUUCAUACAUUCAAAAUGUAUAAAAGUGGAUUAUAUUGGUAGAAGACAUUGUGUAGUAGCUUUGAAACAUUUCAAGCUUAUUUGUUUCAAUCUUCACUAAGUUUAAUGUCUUGUUAUUUAAGUGACUAAAGUCUUUAAAACCUUUUAUAGAUUUAGACACUUCUUUCUUGGUUUAAUCACUAACACAAUUGACAUUUUAAAACAAUUUUAAGAAUGCCCAAUUAAUUGUUCAAAACUACUAAUUGAAUCAAGAGUGAUCUUGAUCAUUGUGUUUCAAGUGAUAACCAUAUAAGAAACGUUUUUCUUAUUACUUAUAUCAUUAUAAUGUGAUCUUCCUUUUCUUCAAGAAAGGAUUUCUCUAGACUUUUGUCAAUUCAUAUAGAACUCAUAAGUAGACAAAUGGAACCAAAUCUAAAGAUUCAUUGUAUCCUUUUAUGUCCUACAUGUGAGAUCUAUCCAUAAUUGAUAAAUCUAAAGUUUGGUUUAUCACAUUACAAUUAAGUGAUAUAACUCUUGUAUCUCAUCUAGGAUACAACAAGACAAUUUUCAAUUCAUAACACUACUUUAAGGAAAUAGUAUAUUAAAAAAGGCAUACUUCACAUUACAUUAAUAUGAUAGUUCAAACAUUCAUAAUGUUUAAUACAAAAAGUAUUAGCUCUAUACAUUUAGAGACUAAUAUAAAUACCUUUAUACAUUUAGGCACUAAUAGUGGUCUUCCAUCAUAUGAAGCCACAUAAUAAGUUCUUAACAAAAUAAGAAAGUUUAAAGACAAUCUUUAAUGCCUAACAAACUUCCUAAGUAGUGAAGCAAAAAAACAUAGUGGCCGAACCCUUCACCCACAUUUUCCUUGCUUGUUCUUCUUCUACUUGGCUUCUCCACCUAUAUACAAUUAUACAAGUGAUUAGCUCUUUAUAUCAAAUAUAAAUAUUUAGAAGAUCUAACAUUUAGAAUUGAAGAUAAGGAACAUAAACCAUACCUUGUGGCUUGUCCUUAAGACUUGCAAGGUAUAACCUGCAAUUCCUCCUCCAAUGCCCCUCCUUUCCACAGUGGUGGCAAGUCCCUUUGGGCUCCUUUGCCUUCUUUUUCCUCACUCCUCCUUUCGGCUUAGGAGUGGGUGACUUCUUCUCCUUCCCUUUGCCUUUGCCUUGCGGCAUUGGCCUUGGAAGAGGAUGGCUUGUUGUAGGCUACUGCAGCAGUCCCUACAACGUUCUCUUUCUUCAUAGUCUUCUCAGGCAGUUACUAACAUGUUUAGUAACUCAGAGAGAGUACUAUCCAUCUUAUUCAUAUUGUAGUUCAUUACGAACUGCGAGCAAAUGAAUCAGAAAGAGAAGCCAAUACGAAGUCCUGGGCCAAUUCCCCGUCAAGUGGAGUACCAAGGUUCUCCAAUUGUUCAAUGAAUCCUAUCAUCUUCAGUACAUGUUGGUGUACUGGAGCCCCCUUGACCAUCUUGGUCUUUACAAGUUCACAAACAGUGCUAAAGCGACGGUUGCGCGUCCCUUCACCAUAUAACUCCGUAAGAUGGAGUAUUAUGGAAAAUGCACUGUCCAUGCCCUCGUGCUGUCUCUGUAGCUCCUCAUUCAUGGAAGCCAACAGAUAGCACUUGGCUUGUGUAUCAUCCUCAACGUGCUUGUCAUACUUAGCACGUUCAUCCUCAGUAGCCUCAGGGCCGAGAGGUAUGUGAGGUGGAGCCUUGUCUAGUACGUAAACAAUCUUCUCCAAUGUUAGGAGAAUCUUGACAUUACGAUACCAUGAUGGGAAAUUGUGCCCCUCUAGGCAAUGUUUGUCGAGUAUUUUCGCGAGUGUGCUUCCAACCAUAUCUAUAUACAUAAACAAAUAAAAUAAUUAGAUUGAUUGUUGUUUAAGUCAAACGAUUCGGGUCUUUAAACCGAAUGACACCACCCACCAUUUUUGGCAAAUUCCAUAUCCCCCAUAAUGGAAUCCGGGAGAUUUCAAAGAAAGCUCCUAGCGGGUUAUGGGAGGCUCACUAUUACCAAGCCCACCUCACGAUGAUACGAUGUUUGGCUAGCAACAAUAAUAAUGAGAGGGUACAAUUACCCAUUCACAACAACCUCUUGUGAUUACCCAUCUUUUUGGCCUCUAGAAAAUAAUACCUCACGAUGAUACGAUGUUGGCAUUAUGUUUCUUAGUUAAGUUCUUUCCCACCAUGCCGGUUUAGCUAGGGGUUCAAGCAUGACCUCACGAUGAUACGAUGUUGGCCAUACUCGUUGCCUACCUUAACCUCAUCAAAUGUUUUAAAUAAACUCCUCCUGAAUAUAAGCAUGCACUUUGUCACUUCCCCAUGAUAGGGUGAAGGCGGUGUACAAGUCAUAAACGCUUGGAGCCUACCACGGUGGAAGGCCACGAAAAAGUGUUCUAAGCACUCUUACGCUUUCAACUUAAUAUUUGUUUGGUUGAGGGAUUUUAAGGUCUCAUCAAUUUUAUUUAUUUAAUCACAAUCAAAUAAAUAAUGUCCUAUUACAACUACUAGUCCAAAGUUAAUGAAAUUAGUAGCAUAUAAUAUCCCCACUAUUCGUUUUCAUAAAACAAAUCAAUAUCAAAACAUUUUUCAAAAUAUUGGAGAUAUAUAUAACUACUAAUUGUAUUCAUUAUAGUUUAGUAGCGUAUGAUACUCCCACUAUUUGUUUUGAGAAAAACAAAUCAAUAUCAAAAACGAAUUUUUCAAAUAUUGGAAGUAACUACUACUACUAAGGUUUUUGCAUUCCUUUGAAAUUGGACUUUAUAGUUAUCUUAGGCUCUUGGAUGACCAUGGACUUAUUAGGUUAUUGCAACAACGAGCCAUCAUUGUUGAAUAUAAACUCGGGGAGGUUGUGUCAAUUUAAUUACGUGCUUAUCAAUCCAAUUAAAACCAUUUUCAUUGAGCCAUUAGAAAUGAAAGACAAUCAUUCAUUGCUAAUUUGGGCAUUGGACCCUUUUAAUCUUUAAUCUCAUGUCAAAACCCUCUUUUAGUUAUGUCUCCUUUACCAAUAGUUAAAGAAACUCUAGUCUAGCACUAGAGGGAAUCCACUAACGAAUAGAGAUUAAGAAGUAAUAAGAAUUACAAACCGAUUUGUACAAAUUCCUAUAAAUUACAUAUACUAAAAGGGGAGAGAAAGAUUAACGUCAAACGUGACAAGGUCCAAUUAAACAGUAAUUAAAACACAUUCCCAAGGUUCAAACAAUUUGAUUUUAGCGCCUUAUCAUAUAGCUCAAUUAUCGUUUAAGGCAUAAGUCCAAAGUCAUCCAUUUCAUAACUACUUAAACACAUUUAAAUAAUCAUAAAGGAAUGCAACAUAAACAUUUAGAUUUAGUGCAUAUGGGCAUAAUAGUAUUAUGAGUUUAAACAACUAACAAAAUUAAAAUCAAAUAUUUUAACUUUCUAGUUAGUAGGGGCCUAAAUGUAAAUAUGAAAAGUUAGGGGUAAAACCGUAAAUAUUUCAAAAGUAAAAUAUCAACUUUUUCAAAGAUUACAAAAUAGCCCCACAAGUGGAUAAAUCCACUAGGGAGGCCGGCCACUUUAAUGGGGGAAUGGGAAGUCUCACCCACAUGCAUAAAUUCAAUGCAAAGUAGAAAAAAUCAAAAUUUUGCUUGUCACUUGGUUUUGGCAUUUAAAACUUAGGUGAAAAGGUUUGAUGGAAAUCUCCUAGUCAAGUCUAGGGUUUUAUAAGUAUUAUGAUAUGGUUAUGGAUGGUAAGAACAUCAUCCCAAAACCACAAAACAAUGCAUUAAAACCAUUUUCACCAAAAACCAAACUAUGAACACCAAGAACAAAACCAUGAACACUUUUUCAAGAUUUGUGUAUUCUUGGUGAUUUUUCAAACCCAAAAACAAAAGUGACAAGGUUUCUUCUUUCUAGCUUUAAAAGGAUGUGAGAGUGGUUUACAAUAAAACACAAACACAACCCCAAAACCACCCCCAAAACCGUGCCAUCCCUUUGGUUCAAAACCCCAAAUUUUGUUCAUGACUUAUUCUUCAUUCAUGCAUCUAAAACACCCUUUUACAUGCAUAUCUUUUUCAACUCUUGAUUUAUAUUUUUCAACCAUUGAAAAAACAAAAGAUAAACAUACUUUAAAUGAAGAAAUAAUAUGUCAAACUAGUUCUAAACUCAUUUUUCAUUCAUGCAUACAAAACAUCUUUUGCAUCCAUACCUUUCUCAACUAUUGACUAACAUUUUUCAACUAUUGAAAAACAAAAGAUAAACAUACUUUGAAUGAAACAAUAAUAUGUCAUACAUAACAUUAAUACCCAUAUGCAUAAAAUCCAAAAGGACACAUUAUACAUAAACCUUUGGCUCUGAUACCACUUGAAGGGAAAACUAUGAGAUUCAUGUAUGGGAUUUCUAAAUGACUAUCAUGCAUAUACAAAACAAUUUUUAUAUACGAAAGCAGAGGGAAGCAUUUAUAACAUAUUAUCAAAGCUAUAGUCAUGCAAAUCCCUUCAAGGUUCAUAGGUUUAUAUAUAAUGCAUCAAAACAAAUUAUAGAAUCAAGAACAAAGUGAAGGUUAGUCUUAUACCUCUUGAUCUAGACUUGAGACCAAGGAUGGACCACCUCCAAACCCUUUGCUCCUUGAAAUCCUUGAGCCUAGCUUCCCUCCUUGCCUCCUCUACUUUGAAAAAAUGAGUGCUCCUAGGUUCUCUUCAAGUUUCCAAAGUAGGAAACCUCUAAAGAUCCUCACCCACUAGUGUAGUGAGAAGGAUGAAGGAAUAACCAAAAGGGUGAAAGAUUGUUAGCUAAAAACACCCCAAUGGUGGCCGGCCCUUUGAUGUGUUUAGAGAGCUUUUUCUUUUGCCACUUUGUUGUUUAAACACUUCAAAAACCCCUAUGAACUUUAUCACUAUAAAGUUCCUUAUAUAGACAAAAGAAAACCUAGUCAACAAUGCUUGAAUAAAAGCCCAAUGGGUUUAGGCCCAAUGGGCCCAAUUAAACCCGAACGUUUCUUUAAGCCCAAAACGAUCUUUAUCGCUUUUAUGAUUUCUUUAGACUUUUCUAAAUUAAUCACAACACAUAAUUAAUCCAAUUAAUUGUUUCCAUCAUCCAUUAGUUACUCACCACAAUAGUGUUUUGGUGAACAAUCUUUUAGGUUCUAAUUAGCAAGGCAGUGAGGUGAUUGGCAUCAAUCCAAUUGCUUAUAUUUAAUUCAAUCACCUAGUGAAUUAAAACUUCAUUUUAAUUCACCUUUCUUCUUUGACGACUACAUUUAAUCAUCUAGAAGAACUCACAAGCUAUGAGUGACAUCUAACCAUAUGUCAUAGCUAUCCAAGCUAAUGUAGAAGUUUAUUCGAAGAACCUAGUCAGUUGGAAUUACAAUGUAAUUCAAUCCUUCUCUAAUACAAUACUCUCAAUCACAUCAUUAGGGUAUGGAUAUAUAUCAUGUCAAACCCCUAAUGUGAUUAUUCCUUCAUAUAUGAUUCAUUUGAGUCGUAUAGGAACGCUUUCCAUUCAAUACGCUCGAUACUUCGGCCGAAGAUUCCCGAAUCAUAUCUUAGAGUAUUCUUCCUCUCUUAUCGAGGAUUAGAGAUUCCUUGUUGCGCAUACACUUGCCUUCAUGACUAAGUGGUUUAACCCCAAUUAUGCCGUGGACACCCUCGAAUGGGGAGACUUUGACAUAAUCAAAGAUUAAGUACUUAACCACAAGACAAUGACGAUGCCUCAGGUUUAAGGAUUACUUACAUCUUUCCAACCAUUAGAGUUACUUGUUUGACAUGUGAGUAGACCUCCAUGCAAGUACUCUCGUUCGAUUGUGUUCAGUGAACUCAUUCCCCUAAUGAGCACCUACAUACUUGACUUAGUGUCACAACACGAAUGGGAUGAAACUUUCCAUCCUUCCAAUUGAAGCAGACAUAGUAUGUACCGGUCUACG
rnacentral:lncRNA from 1 species